rnacentral:tRNA from 1 species
UCCUCAGUAGCUCAGUGGUAGAGCACUCGGCUGUUAACCGAUUGGUCGUGGGUUCGAAUCCGACUUGAGGAG